GGGGAUUUAGCUCAGCGGCAUAAGCGCCUGCCUUGCAAGCAGGCAGUUGUGAGUUCAAACCCCG
rnacentral:tRNA from 1 species